rnacentral:lncRNA from 1 species
GAAGCUUUAACUUUCUCUGUUCGAACUUGUUGUGUUGAGUCGGGAGGUGGACGGAGGCACGGCACGGCAGCGGCGCUGCUGUCGCCCGGCCACGGUGAGAGAGAGGGAGCUAGGGUUCAGGCGCAGCAGCGGCUCGUCGCUGUUGUAGCCGAUCAGUCGGGAGUGAGGGAGAGGUGGUCUGGUCCGGGCACGAUGGAGUAGCAGCGGAGGUGGAGCCUGUCGUGGUCGCCGUUGCUCCAGCGAGCUCCAGCGGCCGUGAGAGCAGUCGAGAGGGAGAGAGACUGGCGGCGGCAGCGAGCUGUUGUCGUCGGAAGGAGGAGGGAAUCGGUGGUUUCAGGGAAGCUAGGUCAGGCGGCGGUGGCUGUUUCUGACUGCGGCGGCCGUGGGUUCUCCGCGGUUGCUGCUGCUCGGGAAGCCGGCGCUCUUCGCCGGGAAAAAGGAGAAGGGGGAUGGCGCGGCGUGUGUUGGUUUGUGAGGUGGGGGAAGAGUGAGAGGGAGACUUGAGGUCGAAGGGAAGGAGAGAGGAGGCGGAGCCGCCGGCCUCCGGGGACGGUGCUGCCGUCCGGUGGUGGCGGCGGGAGAGGCAGAGAGCGAGAGAGAGUGAGCGGCUGUGAGGAAGAGAGAUGUGUGAGUGUGAGUCUGUGACCGAUGGGGGAAGAAAA